rnacentral:rRNA from 1 species
GACAGAGGGUGCAACGUUGCUCGGAAUCACUGGGCGUAAAGGGCGUGUAGGCGGGAAGGAAAGUCGGGCGUGAAAUCCCUGGGCUCAACCCAGGAACUGCACUCGAAACUUCUUUUCUUGAGUGCCGGAGAGGAAAGCGGAAUACCUGGUGUAGAGGUGAAAUUCGUAGAUAUCAGGUGGAACACCAGUGGCGAAGGCGGCUUCUGGACGGUAACUG